AACGAACGCUGGCGGCGCGCCUAAUACAUGCAAGUCGAACGAGAAGCUGUAGCAAUACAGUUGUACAGUGGCGAACGGGUGAGGAAUACAUGGGUGACCUACCCUCGAGUGGGGAAUAACCAGCCGAAAGGUUGGCUAAUACCGCGUACGCUUCCCAGUCUACGGGUUGGGAAGGAAAGCGAUGCCGUGGGUAUCGCGCUCAAGGUUGGGCUCAUGUCCUAUCAGCUGUUGGUGGGGUAACGGCUCACCAAGGCAACGACGGGUAGCUGGUCUGAGAGGACGAUCAGCCACACUGGCACUGCGACACGGGCCAGACUCCUACGGGAGGCAGCAGUAAGGAAUAUUGCGCAAUGGGCGAAAGCCUGACGCAGCGACGCCGCGUGGGGGA
rnacentral:rRNA from 1 species